rnacentral:lncRNA from 1 species
CUUGGCUGUCCCUGACUAACAACCCAACCUUGGCAGCAGGAGUGACUACACCAUGUGAAAGAGUGGGCUGGGAGACAUCACUUCAAGGUUGCUCUCAACAAGUCCAGGAAAUCUCUCCUGGUGCUACCCAAGAUAGUCACCCUUUGUCCUGCCCACGACAUGCUUUCCUCACAUGUGAGGCCACAUCAAAGAAGAAGCGUUUGUCACAGCAGGGGAUGUGCCGGGUCCAGACACUUAUGAAUGAAGAGUGACCAAGACUUCGUUCCUUCCCCUGAAAAAAAUAGUCUACCAGCUGAGCAAGACACACAC